UACAGAGGUCCCAAGCGUAACUGAGAUUCACUGGGUUUAAAGGGUGCGUCGGUGGCGCGUUAAGUCAGUUGUGAAAUCCCCGGGCUCAACCCGGGAAAUGCUUCUGAUACUGGCGUGCUUGAGGCCGGUAUAGGUUACUGGAACGGACGGUGGAGCGGUGAAAUGCGUAGAUAUCGUCUGGAACGCCAGUGGUGAAGACGGGUAACUGGGCCGGUUCUUACACUGAGGCACGAAAGCGUGGGUAGCGAACGGG
rnacentral:rRNA from 1 species